rnacentral:rRNA from 1 species
UACAGAGGCCUCGAGCGUUAGGCGGAAUCACUGGGCUUAAAGCGUGUGUAGGCGGCGGGCUAAGUACCUUGUGAAAUCCCACGGCUUAACUGUGGAACUGCUGGGUAUACUGGUUCGCUUGAGCGGUCUAGGGGCGAGCGGAACAAAUGGUGGAGCGGUGAAAUGCGUAGAUAUCAUUUGGAACGCCAACGGUGAAAACAGCUCGCUGGGGACCUGCUGACGCUGAGACACGAAAGCCAGGGGAGCGAACGGG